rnacentral:rRNA from 1 species
CCUGGUUAUCAAAAACAUGUCCUUUUGUUAAUGAUUUAAGGUCUAACCUGCCCGCUGAGUAGUUGAAGGGCCGCGGUAUUUUGACCGUGCAAAGGUAGCAUAAUAAUUAGUUUUUUAAUUGAAAGCUGGAAUGAAUGGUUGAAUAAGGGAAAAACUGUCUCUGUUAAAUUUUUUAGAAUUUUAUUUUUAAGUAAGAAAGCUUAAAUUAACCUAAAAGACGAGAAGACCCUAUAGAGUUUGAUAGGGUUUUGUUUUUGGCUUUUUAGAAUUUUUGGGGCAGUAAAUAAAGUCCUAUUUAGUUGGGGUGACUGAAAAAUUAAAAUAACUUUUUCUUUGUUAAAACAUUAAUUUGUGAAUAGUUUGAUCCAAAUUUUUUGAUUAUAGGAAUAAAUUACCUUAGGGAUAACAGCGUAA